rnacentral:rRNA from 1 species
CCUACGGGUGGCAGCAGUGAGGAAUAUUGGUCAAUGGACGAGAGUCUGAACCAGCCAAGUAGCGUGAAGGAUGACUGCACUAUGGGUUGUAAACUUCUUUUAUAUGGGAAUAAAAUGUUCCACGUGUGGGAUUUUGUAUGUACCAUAUGAAUAAGGAUCGGCUAACUCCGGGCCAGCAGCCGCGGUAAUACGGAGGAUCCGGGCGUUAUCCGGAUUUAUUGGGUUUAAAGGGGGCGUAGGUGGAUUGUUAAGUCGGUUGUGAAAGUUUGCAGCUUAACCGUAAAAUUGCAGUUGAAACUGGCAGUCUUGAGUACAGUAGAGGUAAGCGGAAUUCGUGGUGUAGCGGUGGAAUGCGUAGAUAUUAGGAAGAACUCCGGUGGCGAAGGCAGCUCACUGGACUGCAACUGACACUGAGGCUCGAAAGUGUGGGUAGCAAACAGGAUUAGAUACCCCGGUAGUC